UCAUUGGAGAGUUUGAUUCUGGCUCAGAACGAACGCUGGCGGCGUGCUUAACACAUGCAAGUCGAACGAGAAAGUCCCCGCAAGGGGACCGGUAAAGUGGCGCACGGGUGAGUAAUACACAGGUAAUCUUCCUUUUUGUGGGGCACAACUUCGGGAAACCGGAGCUAAUUUCCCAUAAUCCUUGGAAAUCAUAAUCGAUUUUCAAGGUAAAGAUGGCCUCUACUUGUAAGCUAUCGCAAAAAGACGAGCCUGUGUCCCAUCAGCUAGUUGGUAGGGUAACGGCCUACCAAGGCUAGGACGGGUAGCUGGUCUGAGAGGACGAUCAGCCACACUGGAACUGAAACACGGUCCAGACUCCUACGGGAGGCAGCAGUGGGGAAUAUUGGACAAUGGGGGAAACCCUGAUCCAGCAACGCCGCGUGAGGGAAGAAGGCUUUCGGGUUGUAAACCUCUGUCGAAGGGGACGAAACCGGUUAUGGCUAACAUCCAUAACCAUUGACGGUACCCUUAGAGGAAGCACCGGCUAACUCCGUGCCAGCAGCCGCGGUAAUACGGAGGGUGCAAGCGUUGUUCGGAAUUACUGGGCGUAAAGCGUGUCCAGGUGGGUCUGUAAGUCAGGUGUGAAAUCCCCCAGCUUAACUGGGGAGGGUCGCUUGAGACUGCAGAUCUUGAGUUUCGGUGAGGUGGGUGGAAUUCCCAGUGUAGAGGUGAAAUUCGUAGAUAUUGGGAGGAACAUCGGUGGCGAAAGCGACUCACUAACCGAAUACUGACACUCAAGCACGAAAGCGUGGGUAGCAAACAGGAUUAGAUACCCUGGUAGUCCACGCUGUAAACGAUGGAUACUAGGUGUUGGAGGAAUUGAUCCCUUCAGUGCCGGAGCUAACGCAUUAAGUAUCCCGCCUGGGAAGUACGGUCGCAAGACUAAAACUCAAAGGAAUAGACGGGGGCCCGCACAAGCGGUGGAGCAUGUGGUUUAAUUCGACGCAACGCGAAGAACCUUACCUGGGCUUGACAUCUAGGGAAUUUUGCAGAGAUGCAGAAGUGCCUUCGGGAGCCCUAAGACAGGUGCUGCAUGGCUGUCGUCAGCUCGUGUCGUGAGAUGUUGGGUUAAGUCCCGCAACGAGCGCAACCCCUACCUUUAGUUGCUACCAUUUGGUUGAGCACUCUAAAGGGACUGCCGGCGUCAAGCCGGAGGAAGGUGGGGAUGACGUCAAGUCCUCAUGGCCUUUAUGCCCAGGGCUACACACGUGCUACAAUGGACGCUCACAAAGGGUUGCCAACCCGUGAGGGGGAGCUAAUCCCACAAAAGCGUCCUCAAUUCAGAUUGGAGUCUGCAACUCGACUCCAUGAAGCUGGAAUCGCUAGUAAUCGUGGAUCAGCAAUGCCACGGUGAAUACGUUCCCGGGCCUUGUACUCACCGCCCGUCACACCACGAAAGCUGGGUGUACCAGAAGUCUCCUUCGGGGGCCCAAGGUACAACUGGUGAUUGGGGUGAAGUCGUAACAAGGUAUCCGUACCGGAAGGUGCGGAUGGAUCACCUCCUUU
rfam:Deltaproteobacteria bacterium RIFCSPLOWO2_02_FTLL_40_36 rifcsplowo2_02_scaffold_19, whole genome shotgun sequence.